GAUGAACGCUGGCGGCGUGCCUAAUACAUGCAAGUCGAGCGAACAGACGAGGAGCUUGCUCCUCUGACGUUAGCGGCGGACGGGUGAGUAACACGUGGAUAACCUACCUAUAAGACUGGGAUAACUUCGGGAGACCGGAGCUAAUACCGGAUAAUAUAUUGAACCGCAUGGUUCAAUAGUGAAAGACGGUUUUGCUGUCACUUAUAGAUUGAUCCGCGCCGCAUUAGCUAGUUGGUAAGGUAACGGCUUACCAAGGCAACGAUGCGUAGCCGACCUGAGAGGGUGAUCGGCCACACUGGAACUGAGACACGGUCCAGACUCCUACGGGAGGCAGCAGUAGGGAAUCUUCCGCAAUGGGCGAAAGCUUGACGGAGCAACGCCGCGUGAGUGAUGAAGGUCUUCGGAUCGUAAAACUCUGUUAUUAGGGAAGAACAAAUGUGUAAGUAACUAUGCACGUCUUGACGGUACCUAAUCAGAAAGCCACGGCUAACUACGUG
rnacentral:rRNA from 1 species